GGACGAACGCUGGCGGCGCGCUUAACACAUGCAAGUCGAGCGAGAACCGGUCCUUCGGGACCGGGGAAAGCGGCGAACGGGUGAGUAACACGUGAGUAAUCUGCCCUCGGCACCGGGAUAGCCCGCGGAAACGCGGAUUAAUACCGGAUGGCCCAGCAGCUCUUCGGGGCGGCUGGAAAAGGUAGCUUCGGCCUCUGGCCGAGGAGGAGCUCGCGGCGGAUUAGCUUGUUGGUGGGGUAAUGGCCUACCAAGGCGACGAUCCGUAGCUGGUCUGAGAGGACGAUCAGCCACACUGGGACUGAGACACGGCCCAGACUCCUACGGGAGGCAGCAGUGGGGAAUCUUGCGCAAUGGGCGAAAGCCUGACGCAGCGACGCCGCGUGCGGGAAGAGGGCCUUCGGGUUGUAAACCGCUUUCAGGAGGGACGAAGCUACUCGGGUUAAUAGCCCAGAGGGUGACGGUACCUCCAGAAGAAGCCCCGGCUAACUACGUGCCAGCAGCCGCGGUAAUACGUAGGGGGCAAGCGUUGUCCGGAUUUAUUGGGCGUAAAGAGCGUGUAGGCGGCUUGGCAAGUCCGCUGUGAAAACUCGAGGCUCAACCUCGAGACGUCGGUGGAAACUGCCUCGCUAGAGUCCGGAAGAGGAGAGUGGAAUUCCUGGUGUAGCGGUGAAAUGCGCAGAUAUCAGGAAGAACACCCGUGGCUAAGGCGGCUCUCUAGUACGGUACUGACGCUGAGACGCGAAAGCGUGGGGAGCGAACAGGAUUAGAUACCCUGGUAGUCCACGCCGUAAACGAUGGGUGCUAGGUGUGGGGGGUGUCAACUCCCUCCGUGCCGAAGCUAACGCAUUAAGCACCCCGCCUGGGGAGUACGGCCGCAGGCUAAAACUCAAAU
rnacentral:rRNA from 1 species